rnacentral:lncRNA from 1 species
ACAGGGUUCCCUGUGUCGCACAGGCUAGCUUUGAACUCAAGGUCUUCCCGCCUCAGCCUCCCAAGUAGCUGAGAUUCUAGGUGUGUACCCUGCACUGGGCUGGCAUCGUUCCAGGUGCCUGACAAACCCUAACUGUUCCUUGGAAGAUGGCUUUGAAAACAGCAGUCAGUUUUCCCAAGGUAACAGUUCUUGAGGUGGUCACUAACUCCAAAGGGUCUCGCCAUGUAGCCUGGCUGGCCUUGAACUCGCUCUGUAGCUCAGGCGAUCUUCCUGCCUCUGCCUCCCAAGUGCUGGGAUUGUAGGUGUGCGCCGCCAUGCCCAGCCCUGUGUGUGUGUGUGUGCGUGCGUGUGUGUGUGUGUGUGUGUGUGUGUGUGUGUGUGUGCUGGGGAUGGAACCUGCUAGGGAGGAGCUCACCGCUGAGCUACGCCUUCAGCAGCCCCCUUAGACUGCAGAACAGCAGAGAUUAAAAAGCUAUUCAGAGCCAGGCGCGGUGGCGCACACCUGUGAUCCAGCACCUGGGAGGCUGAGGCAGGAGGCUCACAAGUUCAACAUGGUCUGGGAAAUUUAGUGGUUUAGCAAGACCUUGUCUCAAAAAUUAAAAAAAAAAGAAAAAGGUCUGGGAUGCAGCUCAGUGCAAAGGCCUGGGUUCAAUCCCCAGUGCUGGGGAAAAAAGAGGCUUCAGCCUAUGGGUAAUGGGCAUAGCUCCUAGAUCAGCACCUCCUCCCCUCCGGGCGCCCGCAGCCCCCAGGUCCAGGGCCUGACCCAGAAUCCGUGCUCUGGUCUCUCCUGCCUCCUGCAGUUGUGUCAAGUGAUGGCUUCUCUUGGGAGGGAUGGAAGUGCACAGGUGCACGUGAGGAGGCGGCUCACUAAGUCACUAAGCUGCUAAGUUGCCUGGGCUGAGCUCACACUUGAGGUUCUCCUGCGUCAGCCUCCCAGAGUGCUAAACGGACAGGCGUGGGCCCCCAUAGCCGGCUCCUCUUGUCCUGUGAAAUGGGAAAACCGGCGGAGGGUGGGGUCGGCACCUGCCCGGGCCCCACCAGUGCCGCUUCCUGGUGUUUCAGCCCCUGUGGAUCCUCUCCCUGCCCAGCUGCUGCUCUGCAGAGCCAGGGGCACCGCCCGCCUGUGCUCUGUACCGACCCCCCAGCCUGGCCCUGCUGCACUCCUCCCUCUCCAGGAUGGCUCAGUGGCUCUCAGGUGUCCACACUGGCCAGUGAGGCACAGGCCAGGCUCCCCCGUCCUCCUGGGGGCUCUGGAGUGCCCGCUGUCCUGGCUCCGGACACCCUUUGUGAUCCUGGGGACUCCACGUGAAGGUGCCACCCUCUCCACAGGGCCCGCCAGUGAGCCAGCCUCCAACCAGGGCCGUGGGUAUUCAGGACCAGGCCACAGCGGAGCCCAGACUGUCCCCUGCAGUCACGGCCCUGAUGGCAGCCUCAAGGGGAAGAGCGGCAGUGGGAUUGGCCCUGCUUCACUCACUUUAAGUUUAGUUUACUGUCUUGCGUAUUUGAGGCUGGCCCUGAGCUCGUCACCCCUGGCUCUGCCUCUCACAUGGUGGGGCUGCUGGCACCUUUCCCAGCGUUCCCAGGUUUUGGCCCCUUAUCACUUGUACCCUCGUGACAAUGUGGGCAGGGACAGAGUGAAGCCGAGCAAGACUGCUGCCGUCUUCCAGCCUCCUGUGGUGGCCUUGGAGAGCCGAGGCUCCAGCCAAAGGGCCUGGCUGGGUGACGUCCUGCACGGCCUGGACCUGGGCUGCUGCCCCACCCAAGGCCUUUGUUCCAGUGUGCAAGGGAGCAGGCCUCUCCGCCUCCGCCAGCUCGGGCCCCAGAGCGGGUGCGUUCGGGUGGUGACCGUGGUCACCCCGGGGUGGGGCAGAGCCAGGCUUUGGGGGACUGGCCAGGCCCAGAGGAAGCCGGGGGUGCCAGGGAGGGUGACUGCU